rnacentral:rRNA from 1 species
AUUGAACGCUGGCGGCAGGCCUAACACAUGCAAGUCGAACGAGUGGCGGACGGGUGAGUAAUGUCUGGAACACUGCCUGAUGGAGGGGGAUAACUACUGGAAACGGUAGCUAAUACCGCAUACCAUCGGAUGUGCCCAGAUGGGAUUAGCUAGUAGGUGGGGUAACGGCUCACCUAGGCGACGCUCCAUAGCUGGUCUGAGAGGAUGACCAGCCAAACUGGAACUGAGACACGGGGCAUACGCCGAUGGGAGGCAGCAGUGGGGAAUAGUGCAAAAUUGGCGAAAGCCUGAUGCAGCCAUGCCGCGUGUAUGAAGAAGGCCUUAGGGUUGUAAAGUACUUUCAGCGGGGAGGCGUUACCCGCAGAAGAAGCACCGGCUAACUCCGUGCCAGCAGCCGCGGUAAUAC